UCCACUUUCAUCAAUGGCGUACGUGGAAUCGAUCUUGCAGAAAUGCAUCUUCUUCCCUCAAAUCCUCUCUUCUCUCUCAUUAACAAAAAAUCCCUCUAGAUCGGAAGACGAAGAAGAAGCAGACAUAGGAGAGGAGAUUAGCGCAGCUGUAAUUCGUCAUGGCAAAAACAGAUUGCAGUCUCCAACAACCGAAAUCCGCGAGGGGCGAUCAGAACAGGUCGAGGCUCAAGUAUUUGUGUGAAUGCCACCAUUCAUUUGAUGAUGCUCAUCGCCACCAUCUACCGUUUCGCCAAGGAGAGAUCCGGCCGCCUCAAGCCAACUAUUUGCGUCGUUGAGAACUCUGUCAGGACACUUAUUGCCCCGCUUUACGCCAAAACAUACCAUCUCCCCAUUCAAUUCCUCACCUUUGCGGAUUUGAGGGAAGAAGAUGCAUUUCUGCAAGAUCGAUUCCACGUACGCCAUUGAUGAAAGUGGAGGAAGAAGAUGAAAGUGGCAAUUGAAAUAAAUAUUUUAUGAUUUUAUUUAAAAAAAUAAUUUUGAUGAUUAAAUAAUUAAAAAUUGU